AUAAGUGACGUUGGUCUAGUUCUUUUGGCAUUUCUGUCAACCCAUCUAAGUGCCAGGUCAUUAUUCUGGGUAGUCGAUGGCAACUCUUGAAGUUGGAUGCGGUUUCUGUUGCACCGAUAAUUUUUGACGGCUCGGUCAUCCCAGUUUCGAGUCAAGUGAAGGACCUCGGUUUAAUCAUUGACAGGCAUCUCUCAUGGGACGGGCAACUUUUUGAGAUCAGUCGGAAGGUCACCUGUACCUUACACACACUCUACCGGUUCAAAAACUUCCUUCCGGUAUGCACAAAGAAAUUGCUCGUUCAUGCACUCAUCCUCCCGCUCAUUGAUUAUGCUGAUGUGUGCACAAUUAACUAACAUGGAUCAAAAUUCUCUCAACAAACUCGAUCGACAGGUAAACAAUGGAAUAUGGUUCAUUUUUGGAAUUCGAAAGUUUGAUCAUAUAUCCAGCUACCGUCGCCAGCUCAAGUGGCUUCCCAUAACACCGAUCCUUUCGAAUACUCUCCUCACUCUUCUCUAUCCUAUUCGAGCCCCCCACUCCAGAAUAUCUAAAAUAUAACUUCAGCUUUAUUACCCCCCGCC